CACGUAGUUAGCCGUGGCUUCCUGGUCAGGUACCGUCAAGGUACCGGCAGUUACUCCGGUACUUGUUCUUCCCUGACAACAGAGCUUUACGACCCGAAGGCCUUCAUCACUCACGCGGCGUUGCUGCAUCAGGCUUUCGCCCAUUGUGCAAUAUUCCCCA
rnacentral:rRNA from 1 species